rnacentral:tRNA from 1 species
GUUGGAUUAAAAUUAAUUUUUGGCGCAAAAGUUAAAAAAUUAGGUCUGUUCGACC